AUAUCAUAUCUUGACUAAAAAAAGGGAGAAAAGCAGCUUUUUGUGAAAAGAUACAUUUCAAGCAUAACUUUCACUUUGACACAAAUAUUUUUUGCUUUUGUGACAGCUCAAAUAUCUAAACCAGGGGUCACCAACACAGUGCCUGCGGGCACCAGGUAGCCCCCCACGACCACAUGAGGCGCCCGCAGGCCUGCUUUGCAUUCAGGUUUUCAGUUAAUAAUGUGAGAACACUAGAAAGAAAAGUAUUGUGAAACAUAAAAUGGGAGUUGUGGAUACCAGCAUUUUGUGAAUGUUUUGGUAAAACAAGCAUAUUUGCUUUGUUUAGGUUGAAAUAAGGUAUGAAAAUAAUUUCUACAAAAAUGAGCUCGUGGCCAUUUUCAUUUUCUAAAAUUAGCUCUCGCAAGAAAAAACGUUGGUGACCCCUGAUCUAAACUAUACCAACAUAAACAGCACAAAAAAGGGUUGUUUUACAUCAAAAUAACAAAUUAUUUACAAAUAUAACACCAUCAACUAUUUACAGUUUUCACAUUUGGAGCUGAACUAUGUGUGUGCGCAUGCAACCACCGGGCCGUGGCCCAGUACCGGUCCGUGGGCGGGGCCGAUCUGGGCCGAGGAAACCUUUCAGGCUCAAUGAUUUUAAAAAAUACGCAAAAAAUACUUUUGUAAAUAACUAAAUACAAUUUUAAGUAAAUGAAUAUAAAUUUUGGAAAUAUGGGUCAUUAUUUUAUUCAAAAAAUAAUGUAGUUAGAAUUUUUUGCAUUUAUGUUGUUUGUUGCGAGUGUCCCACUUUGUUUGACAGUCCUUGAACUCACCAUCGUACGUGCGCUAGCCUUCUCCCACUCUGCACAGAUGGUCAACUAUGCUGUAUUUUAAUCGUUUUUCUUUCACUUCAUAUUUGCUCCCAAAUGCUGAUACUCUGUGGGAAUGCAUAAAGCACACACAUCACGCAGCGGCGCUACAAUCUUCUCUCUGAAAAACAAACUCCAAGCUUAUAGUGGCGGAUGGUCCUGAGAAACAGCAGUGGCUCUUCGACUAGUGUUUUUGCAGGAGAUCCUUAAAGAACAAUUCAACAUAAGAACGGUCGUCUGGAAUCAAUUGUGUUGCUGGGCGUGCAGCAGGAGCCGGGACAACUGGACACACCUGCAGCUAAUCAUCCUUCACCCUACUUAACACGGAGUAGGGGCCGCUGUGAGAUGCUGGUUCCUUCCAUAACAGUGCACUCGCCAAAUUGCUUAAGCCUUUCAAGAUUUGGUGUCUCCCCAGCUGGGUGUUCCAGUUGUCCCGUGACCUGCCCUUUUGUAAGUUUUUGUGUUUAGAACCUUUUUUCCCUGGUGCUGCGCAAGCUGCGGACCCCAGCACUUUCUGUUCACUCCUGUGAUUACCUCCACCCUGAAAACCAAUUAAAGAACAGUCAUCCACUCACCUUGCCAACGCAUUCUGUGGUCCUCCACACACGCAAGCGUAACACAAAGUCUAGAAAAUGAAGCCCCCUGUGCUCAUGGUCAUUCAUAGCAACUCCUUUCUUAAUGUGUACAAUUGAUCCAAAUGAAAUCAAAUAUUCCUUCAGCUUCCGUAACAAGAACUCGACCUCGACAAGUCCCUCUGUAACCAGUGAUUUAAUUUGCUUUUUGAUUUUUUUAAUGAUUGGGUCAAAAUUCUAAUUGCAUCUCGUUUUGAUUU